UACGUAGGGUGCGAGCGUUGUCCGGAAUUAUUGGGCGUAAAGAGCUCGUAGGCGGUUUGUCGCGUCUGCCGUGAAAGUCCGGGGCUCAACUCCGGAUCUGCGGUGGGUACGGGCAGACUAGAGUGAUGUAGGGGAGACUGGAAUUCCUAGUGUAGCGGUGAAAUGCGCAGAUAUUAGGAGGAACACCGGUGGCGAAGGCGGCCGCUCUGGGCCGAAACUGACGCUGAGGAGCGAAAGCAUGGGUAGCAAACAGG
rnacentral:rRNA from 1 species